UGAAUUGUAUUAAUCGGCAUUCGAAUCUUGUAACUGUCGGAGUACACGCAACUCUCUAAGCAAAAAUCUUUUAUUAAAUUUUCUCCAAGUGAUCGACGAAAUAUUUACAUGGUCAGCUUCGAGCCAAAUUUGGAAGUGUCUUCAAUCAGCGGAGAAGAUAAUUUACGCCGAUAUCACAAAAUCUUGAAGAAGACAUUAGUUCGUACGGAGAUUAAGUUAAGGACGUCAUCAAGAACAAAGAACGGACGAACAAACUCGACACCACACAGUGUUUAAUGGAAGUUUAUUAAUUUUUGCCAAUUUCCGUUAUAUUUUAAAAUGACCGAGGAGAGGGAAUUAAUUAAGAAGCGUGCUAGCUAUAAAGGUCGUUUAACAGUUUUCAAUCUUCCAUAGAAUUAGUAUGAUUCAACAUACAAGAUAUCAUAUGAAUUAUAUGCUCUACAAAUGUCCUGUAUGUAAGAACACAUAUGCAACGUACCAAAGACUAUUGCUUCAUACAGAGGCGGUUCAUUUGGAGACGAGAAAUUAUAAAUGUGAUUUGUGUAAAUCCUCUUUUAUUUCAAAACGAGGCUAUGACAGACAUUUAGGAACAGAAAAGCAUAUCAAUUAUGCUUCCAUAGCAAAGUUAGGAUUUUUAAAUCCUAAGUGAGAUAUUUACUAAAGUUAUAUUUUUAUACUUAAAACGUUACUUUGGUUUAGUUUGAAUUAUUAUCAAAUUAUGUUUUAUAUUUUAUUGAUUUGAUGACUCCAUUGGAUUUAAAUGAGUUUGACUGAAAAUAAUUUUAGAAUUAUUACUUUACUUAUUUGAUAAAUAAAUGAUAUUUUACGUAA